UGGUGCCAUACCAGCCUCACUGACUCAGAAUUUGGGGGGGUGGGGGCUGAGGAGGACAGCAGGAGGCCCAGAAAUCUGAAUUUUACUAAGUGUCCAGGUGAUUCCGACAUCCAGACAGUCGAGACACUUGUUGUAAAUCCCUUACAGGUCACUUAACAUGGAGUGAUUUAGCAUAGACAGAAUGGAAUCUCUUCCAAAAUUCAUGCACCAUUGAAGAAAGAAUCUUCCAUAUCAACCAGCUAUUCAGUGUACCGUGGAUUUUCUGAUUCACGUCUUAAUAGAGUUAAGUGCAUGUCAAGAAAGCUUUGGAGUGUGACAUCAGAGCCAGGCUGUGUUUCAGUGCUGCAUGACACCAUGCAUCAUCAAUUGCUGUGUCUGAGUCUCGCGGGGUGAUGGAGCACUCUUAACUGGAAGUCUAGAUCGGGGAAGGGAGUCUAGAGCAUGGACGAAGCCAGUAGUAGUCUAUCGAGUUGGUACAAAACUUCUUAAAGUCCUUAUCUUUUGCCUUUCUUCCAAUGUGUUGAAAGUAUUUUAAGGCUGUGUAUUUCUCCUUGAGUUUUUGCUUUGAAAACAAUACAGUCAUGUGAUGCUUAAUGACAGC
rnacentral:lncRNA from 1 species